rnacentral:rRNA from 1 species
CCCAGGCCUUGUACACACCGCCCGUCACAUCAUGAAAGCCGCCUGUACCCGAAGUCGCCCCUCAAAAGGUGCCGAAGGUAUGGAUGGUGAUUGGGAUG